rnacentral:rRNA from 1 species
ACAAACUGGCGGCAUGCCUACCAUGCAAGCCGAACUAGACCUUCGGGUCUAGUGGCGCACGGGUGCGUAACGCGUGGGGAUCUGCCCUUGGGUUCGGGAUAACAGUUGGAAACGACUGCUAAUACCGGAUGAUGACUUCGGUCCAAAGAUUUAUUGCCCAGGGAUGAGCCCGCGUAGGAUUAGCUAGUUGGUGAGGUAAAGGCUCACCAAGGCGACGAUCCUUAGCUGGUCUGAGAGGAUGAUCAGCCACACUGGGACUGAGACACGGCCCAGAUUCCUACGGGAGGCAGCAGUGGGGAAUAUUGGACAAUGGGCGAAAGCCUGAUCCAGCAAUGCCGCGUGAGUGAUGAAGGCCUUAGGGUUGUAAAGCUCUUUUACCCGGGAUGAUAAUGACAGUACCGGGAGAAUAAGCCCCGGCUAACUCCGUGCCAGCAGCCGCGGUAAU